rnacentral:rRNA from 1 species
UACGAAGGGGGCUAGCGUUGCUCGGAAUCACUGGGCGUAAAGCGCACGUAGGCGGACUCUUAAGUCGGUGGUGAAAUCCUGGAGCUCAACUCCAGAACUGCCUUCGAUACUGGGAGUCUUGAGUUCGGGAGAGGUGAGUGGAACUGCGAGUGUAGAGGUGAAAUUCGUAGAUAUUCGGAAGAACACCAGUGGCGAAGGCGGCUCGCUGGUCCGGUACUGACGCUGAGGUGCGAAAGCGUGGGGAGCAAACAGG